rnacentral:ncRNA from 1 species
UACCAGUCUCGACGACUAGCGGACGAGCGCACCGUACCCGGCCUGCGACAAGACGGUGCAUG